rnacentral:rRNA from 1 species
AACGAACGCUGGCGGCAUGCCUAACACAUGCAAGUCGAACGAGACCUUCGGGUCUAGUGGCGCACGGGUGCGUAACGCGUGGGAACCUGCCCUUAGGUUCGGAAUAACUCCCCGAAAGGGAUGCUAAUACCGGAUAAUGUCUUCGGACCAAAGAUUUAUCGCCUUUGGAUGGGCCCGCGUUGGAUUAGCUAGUUGGUAGGGUAAAAGCCUACCAAGGCGACGAUCCAUAGCUGGUCUGAGAGGAUGAUCAGCCACACUGGGACUGAGACACGGCCCAGACUCCUACGGGAGGCAGCAGUGGGGAAUAUUGGACAAUGGGCGAAAGCCUGAUCCAGCAAUGCCGCGUGAGUGAUGAAGGCCUUAGUGUUGUAAAGCUCUUUUACCCGGGAUGAUAAUGACAGUACCGGGAGAAUAAGCUCCGGCUAACUCCGUG